UAGGGAAUCUUCCGCAAUGGACGCAAGUCUGACGGAGCGACGCCGCGUGAGCGAUGAAGGUCUUCGGAUCGUAAAGCUCUGUUGUUAGGGAAGAACAAGUAUCGGAGUAACUGCCGGUACCCUGACGGUACCUAACCAGAAAGCCCCGGCUAACUACGUG
rnacentral:rRNA from 1 species